rnacentral:piRNA from 1 species
UAGUUGAUUGGAAAUCUGCUGAAGCAGACUU